rnacentral:sRNA from 1 species
UGGCCGCCGGGUCGACCUCGCGGGUCACUACCAAGUAUUCGCGCAGCGCGAUGGCGUGCAGGUGCUC